ensembl:lncRNA
CCGCCAUGUUUAGCGCGGCGGAGCUCCGCGUAAAGAGAGAGAGGAAAAAAAAAAAAAAAAAAAAAAAGCCCCGCGGAGCUCCGUGCCCGCCUCGAUGUCCGCAUUCCAGCUCAUGUUGCGCAGAUAAAAUUCAAACUUGAGAGGACGAAAUGAUGUCUGAGUUGCCAUACAAGCAUCCAGGGACAAUCCAAAAAGUAAGUCAGUCAAACUAAGUAGUCUUUUUUUGAUCUUAUGUAUAAAACAUAUAUUGAGAAGACAAUUAGUUUUCCUUCUUUCUUUGACUGUCAGUGAGGUGCAUUUUGUAGAGCUGUUUUGAGUUAGCUGGUUUCAAGUCUUGUGGCUGAGGGUGAGAUGCAUUUAGUAGAUAGUUUCUCAUUGCUGUGUCAAGAUACUGCUCAGGACUGUGUCCUGUAAUUUCAUUAUUGCUUUUCUUAGAGCCCUGAUGGCCCAAAGAUGUAGAGAGAAGAGGUUUGUGGGGAAACAUGUUAUCUUAAGUCAUUUCUGAUAAAACUUAAGGAUUCAGAGGAACCUGCAGAUAUGUAAGAAGGGUGAGAAAGGGUUUGGAGGUUACGAAAACAUGAAGUUCUUCAUACUACCCGUCGGUGUAAGGAGAAUUUUAAACUUCCUUUAAGACUGAUAAAUAUUUUUGAAUAUAUUGAGAACGUUUAUUUGGAGUACUGUAUGUGUUUGCAGUUUAGCACAGGAGUUUCUUCCAUUGUGGUCAGUGAAGGAAAACACUUUUCGAUGGUGCUUCAGAUAGCAAGCCCUACAACUCAUCUUUCUGACCCACUUGUAUUAGUUGCUGGGGAUGUGUGCUUUUAACUGUCUUAAACAGACCGCAUACUACAUGAUUAAAAACAUCUACCCAGCAGUUAGAAUAAUACCAGGUUUUUUUAUUACGAAUUUGGUUUCAAAGUGGCCUAACAAGUGAAUUCAUUAAAAGAUCGCAUGAGGUUUUCUGUGUAUUGUUGAGUCAAAUGAUCUGUGUCUGCAGAACGCAUCUCAAUUUAUUUCAUUAUGGGAUGAGUAUGUUUUUAAGGUGUAGGUUUUGAUACUGUUGAUGCCUUCAGUUUGUCAAACAGUCGUGUGGUUCUUCAUUAUUUUUCUAUUAGUCACGUGAAUGUAAUUUUACUAUCUAUGUUUUUUUCGUCUAAUAGUGUAGGCAGUUUUACAGACUGUCUUUUUAGAGGCACUUUCUAUUUAAAAGAAAAAGAAACAUUAAAAGAAAAAGUGGUGUGAAGAAGCAUGUGUCAGGCAUAUGCAAUUCCUCCAGCAUCAUGUUUUCCACACUGAUUUAAUAGCUGUUGAUUCUCUUCAAAUGUUCUUGUUUCCAAGACCUGUUUUACAGUAAUAAAUCUUCUUGGCUGUAAAAUUCUUGAAAUGAUUCAGUGGGAUGAUUGUUUCCUUAGCACAUUCCCUGAGUGCUCAUAGUUAAAAAUGGAAAAGUUCCUAAGCGGGUCAUUUUUUUUCCCUGCAAUAUGUGUCGUCGAUUCUGAAAACUACGGUCAAUACAAUCACCUGUGUUGGCCCUGGCAAACCACUGUUUGCCUCGUGCUCCUCACUAUCCUGAUUUCUCUUGGUAAAUUAUGGUAAGUUUUCUGCUGGAGUGCCGUGUUGAACUAUGUUAAGAAAUGCCUAGCUGGACAAAGGGGGGAAAAAAAUGUUGUGGCAUGAUUUGAUACGGGUCUUCAUUUAAAAAAAGUAGAAAAAACUUACUGAAAUUUAUACUUAUUGAAAUUUAUACUUAGUUUAGUAAUGAAAAUUGCUAAGGGCUUCCUUAAUUUCCCUAAGCAUUUGCACACGAGGCUGGUGGAAGGUGUGGUGUGUGCAGCAGGCUUUUUGACACAUCGUAAGAAAAGAUUCAUCCAGGAUAGUUUUUAACAUCUUCCUUCUACUUACAGUCAGUGCCAUUUGUAGUUUUUAGGUUCUGAAGAUACAUGGAAAGUCCCCCAACAGUGAGCUGCUUCAAUAUGUGGUCUGUUGUGUUGUCAGCUUGCAUUUUAUUUGGGUUUGCCAUCAGAGUAUCUUUUGGAAACUGCAAGCUCAUAUGUUGGAAAAAUCCAAAAUGAAUGCUGAAGUCAUUGAUGUUGAUUGCAAUUUAAUAAAUCAUCAGACAUGCAAGGGUGAUAAAUUUUGUUAUGCUUGGUCUGUUUGUCUCCAGAGGGUGGCCAAACAUUGUAUAAUCUCUGUGGCUUUCUGACAGCUGGAGAAGACUGUUAAAAUCAGCACUUAGUUACUGGGAGCAGAUAGGAGGCCUGUGAGUUCUGUCUAUUGGGUUUGCCAAGGCAGGCCAUUCAGUAGCUCAUUGGGAAUGUCAUGUGUGCAAAGACAAGGGAGAGGUGCAUUUGCCAAAAUUCUGCACAGCUGGGGGAUCUUCUUUGGAUGAGAACGCCAUGUUAUACUGUGAAAUACAGAAUACCUUGGUCUUAAAAUCUGUAGCUUUCCAAAGUACUGUUGUUUUUCUGAUGUUUUCUUUGCUCUUCUCUCAAGGUUUUUAGCAGAUGUAUUAGAUCUGUUCUUACCUUUGUUUUGAGGAAAAAAAAAGAUCCUUGCAUUUGUAAUUUCAUAUAACCAGUGCGUUUUAAUCAGGUGCUUUCAUGGCAAGGUGUAAACAUUACUGUUUUCAAUCUUGUUCUUUGUAGUAAUGCAAAAUAUCCUUUCUUGUAUUUGUAGCUACUGUUAGUUACAAUAGGGAACAACUUCUUCACUUGAAGGUGGGCUUAAAAAAUGUUGAAAUCCCACAGAGUUUAAAUAAGAAUGCCAUGUUUUGUGUUGACUCAUUCUUGUUAAUGACUUGUAGAAGAAAAGGUAAUACUGGGGACCAUUUUUCAUGAGUGUAUGUGUAUGCACACUUUCAGAGUCAGCAGAAGUCUUAGCUGUCAUAGUUCUCUUUUGAACUGUUGAUCAGUUAUGUCAAGACCUGGGUGGUCUAAUAAAUUGACAGGGUGAUGGGGGAGCCCUUUCUCAGCAGCUCGAGUUCAGCUAACUUGGGUACCUUUGAGAAAGACUCUUAGUUUUGAUCUUCACUUGCAAAGUGAGGAGACCAUGCCUACUUUAGACCUAAUACACAUCAGCAUUUUGACUUUUCAGAAGCCUGACAGCAGGCAUCAGGAGAAAGCCUGCUCCUUGCACGUGUGCAAGCAAAUGGAUUUCAUGGGAUGAUGUGUGCCAUUCCAUCUGGCAGCUGAGGACAGUGAAUGAUAAGGAUGGUUUGCAGAGAAGAGUACAGCCAGUAAUGGUCAAGAAAAGCCGUUUUCCUCAUUAGACAUUUGUCAUCUUAUAGGGAGAUUGACUAGCAUGUGGCACAGGGGGGAAACAAACCACAAAGAGGUCAGUGCUAUUGGACGUGUGUGAAGUAGCCAUUAACAUAGGCAGUAAAUAUUCAAAAAGAAACUCUUCAUUUGACAGUGCAGUCUUCUAGAUGACUUGAAAAGAUAAAAACGCACCGUAUUUUUAAAAGAGCACUUUUAAUUUUUGUCAGAUGUGAAAGUACCUGUAAGUUUAAUGUGUGCUUUACAAAUAGAGCAGCAUGCUAGGGCCAGUUAGUAGAUUUGCAUUUUAUGAGUUGGCUGUGGUGUAAUGGCUUCAUACACAAAAUUCAGGCACCACCAUUAACACUGGGAAAUUUUUAUGCUCCAAUAUCACAUGAAUAGGAGUUGUGUGGUGCUGAGUGCACUUCAUUGGUGUAAACAAUGGGCACUUAAGCAGUUUUGGAUUCUCUGCCUGCAGGAAGCAGGGUUCUCUCACCUUCUCUUCUCCUUUUUCAUAGUAAUUCAGCUGCUACACUGAGCAGAGCUUUCUGUAAUCCCACUCCCCUGCCCUGCAAACAAAACAAACAAAAGAAGUAGUACCAUCUUGGAAUGUUAUGCAGCUGUAUUAAGAAGACCUGGCAGAUAUAUAUCAAGCUAAGUGAUAAAUGGCAUGUGUUCCUGCUUUCCUGACCUCUGUCUGUUAAAUCAGUCUGCUUAAUACUUCAAAACCUGCAGGUUUCUGAAGACUUCUGAUGUUUGAAAUGGGAAGACACCUGGCAGCAAAACCUUUUCCCCAUAUUUUUUUUCUUCUAAUGACUUGCCUUAUAAGCAAGAUAAAAUACACUUGGUUUUGGACUUUCAUUUAAAAACUGGAGUUAAUUCAGAAGUUUAUUUUUGGUGCUUUGCAAGCUAAUAAAAUGUAUGUUUGAUAAAUGAGCUGUUCGAUAUCUGACUUGCAGUGUUGUUCACUGAUCCCUCCCUCAAUUCUCUCCUGCAAACACAUGCACAGACAAACACCCAGGGAGAAAUGGAGGAAUGUAGCAUCUUAAAUGCACCGUUACUUCUGUUUUUACAAGUGCCUUGAUGUUGAUCUCUUGAUGUUGGUAAGAGUGAGCAGUGGGCAUAGGAUGAUCAUUUUUAAACUUCUUUCUGUGGAGAUGCUGGUUUAAAAAAAAAAAAUCUUAUUUGAAUAUUUUUGCAUUGAUAACACCUUUUCUUAACACGAAACUCAGAGAUUAACAAAUCAUUAUCUGACUUAAUUUAGGUUUUAUUUUCCCCUAACUGAGGUUGGUUUCUAUAGCUCAGGGUUGGGAACCUAUAUAUCCUAAAAGGCUAUAUAUGACUCACAGCUGUUUCAUACAGCCUAUCAUAUUAUUUUUUCACAUUAAGAACAGUACUGACACAGUUGUUAACAUAUGGCCACAGCCUGCCAAAUAUGUUUAAAAGCCUUGACCCUUAGCUAGAAUAAGAUUUCCCUGAAGUUGCUAUAAAUUGUUGUCACAACCUGUUUUCACUUGAAAAACCACCAAGAGUUGGUGAGCCUUGCAUGUGCUGUGCUUCUCCACUGUCAUGGGAUGGAGGGAGAGAAAUCACUGCUCCAGAAUUUAGACAUUAAGGGAUGCAGCCUGUUCAGUUUGAGCUCUGAAAUCACUGUUCUGGCAUUCUUGAGCUUGCAGUUUUAUUCAUCAUAUUUAUAUUACACAGUUCUGUUUGUUUUGGGCUUUGAGUCUCGCAUGAAGGUAAUGGGGGUUGGGGGGGGGGGGGGAAAUAUAACACAGCAGGAAAAAGUGUCUUGUGAAAACACCAGAUUAUUACUGAUUCAGUAGAGGUGAACAUGCAUUCCUUUCCAUUCGUUUCAGCAUCUCUGCGGUGGGACUGAGGUCUGUCUCAUCUUCCGUAGAAGAAAUGCUUCCCCUUCCCUGUCACCCAGGCUCCUGUGGUGUCAUGGCUCCUGCCCUUUCACAGAAAAUCAUUCUCCUUAGUCCUACCCUCCAGAGCAGGUAGCUAACAGUUGAGGCUGGAAAAUUACCUUAGGACCCUUCUGGAGACAGUAAACUCUUGAAGAGGUCAUCAGAGCCAAGUUGUCUUCUUAGUAUGGAACCAGCCUUCCUGUGGCAGGACAAGGUGGCACAGAGUGAUGCAAUGAGGAGAUGAAUGUCUUAGUGGGUUUAUCUGUUGCAGAUGAAUCAGAGAUUUUCCGUCACUUGCGAAUUUAAAUGUUUAUUGUUGCCAUUAAUCUAACAUCAGAGUUUAAAUACCUCACGUGGCUUUUAAAAUACAUGUCCUAAUGUUGCUCAUGUCCAUAUGAGCAGUAAUUUGCCGUUAGAUUCAAAUUUAGGAUUUUCUUCCCUUGUCUUUGAUUUGAAACUGUUAAAUCUUGUAUUCUUUGUAUAGAGGGGGAAAUAACUAGUGAGAUGACAUACAAAGAUCAGGCAAAAAUCUGCAGAGAUGGAGCUCAGAAAUAAUGCUUUAAACUGCAUGGAAGACCUUGUGGCUGCAGUGCAAAGUAGGACUUUUAGAAACACUGUUUGCAAAAGCCAAUAGGGAAAGCCACGAAACCUGGUUCUAUUCCUCAUCUAUUGUAUAAACUUGAAGAACUUGCUUUGUAGUUUCCUUCUGUUUUCCUGUCACCAGUGAAUGUUUUAAUUGCUCUUGUUAAAGCGCUUCAGCAUAAAUCUUGAAUUGAUAUCCUUGCAGACUUAAAUAAGUUUAAUUACAGUCCCUUUCCUCCUCACCCAUGCUUUCCCAAAACAGGAAUAACUGGACUGUUUUUUUUCCCAAAUUGUACGAUUGACUGAUGUGUUGCAGCUGCUGAAGGUAGGAUUUCCUAGUACAGAUAUCCAGUGAUCAGCUUCAGAUUAAGAAAACAAUUGGAUAUGUGACGUCCCCAAUUUUGUUAGGAAAGUGGUCUGGCACAAGGCAUUUCCUUAUUCAUUUUAUGUAGCAAGCAGUCCUGUGCAGGCUGCUUUAUGUUAGUGUUGUCUAACCUUACCCUCAACCAACUGGAGCUUGGUGCAUUGUGGACAGAUGCCUUACCUGUAGGCUACUGAAGAGGGAAAUACAGUUUAUAUCACUAGAAAGCACUAUGUCAGGCUCAGUGUUGUACUUGGCAUUGUCUGUUUGCAUGGCAAAGCACAGUGUUCCUGAUCUCCUCAUCACAUCCUUAGACUGCAGGAACUGCUGCAGCAGUGGACUGUCAAGAGGCACAGCAAAUAUCGCCUUUGGUGUGCCCAUAAGCAUUUUGGCCAGUGUUCUGCUUCUGAAAAUAAAAGAAGUGAAUUUGAGCAGGCAUUCGGCUCUGGCUUACCAUUAAUGCAUUAAUCCCUGGUGUGGGGCUGAGGAAGUAGCUCAUAAAAACCAAAACUCGUUGGAAUUUUGGUUCUGUGCUGCUUCAUUGGCCUGGCUGCAGCUGUACCAUGGUAGGCAUCUACAUUCUGUCACUAAAGUGAGCACACUCUCCUGAAGAAUGGGUACUGAGCACUGCUAUGCUUUGGUUCAGGGAUAUUAAAAAUCAUGCAGUGUGAAUAGAAAUUACCCUUUUUUUUUAAUUAAUGUAUACAUAAUGCAGAAGAGAUGAGACAAGGAUUCCUUCUAUCUGAUUGGUCCUAUUGCUGUCCAGAUUUCCUUGCUGUUGUCUUCCCUCAUGCAUAUUUGGACAGAGAUAUCUCAUCUUCCUUCUGUGAUGCUAGAAAUGCAUGACUGUGGAAACAACAAAUUUUCUUGACCACUUUCUGCUUUUGAGAAGCCAUUCCUGCUCUUUGAAUCCAGAGCCAUCCUCGUCUUUCCUGAAAUACAUAUCUAUAAGGAAUUUAUUUUAAUUAGAGAGCUACAGGAAGCAGAAUUCCCAUCCUGUGGGAGUCUUGUAUCCGAUUUUUGUGUUUUGAAUUGGUGAGCUUGGACUACCCACCCCAGGACUGGCAGGCAGCCGAGCAGGAAGCUGGACGGACUUGUUGCCUUUCAAAGAGCAUUUUGAUGGAAUCGGCACAUUUCCAUGCGAUCCAUGUUUUGCAGUGUAAAGGUUGUUAUGUUGGGAUGUUACUUUGUGCAGUUCUGUAGUUGCAGUUUUAACUAGUUACUUCUGGGAAAUCGUUGGCUAAUUUUUGUUGCUGUCAGAGUCUGUCUUCCACAGAAACAUGAACUCUCUUCUCACAAGGAAAUCCACAUGGAAGGAUGUUCUCCUUCAACUGGUGUGAAAGAGCACUCGAUGCAUAUCAGUAUAGAUAGGUGAGCUACCAGACCUUAUGUUCCCUGUCUAUGUCUCUCAUGACAGUAACUGACAAAAUUGGUGCUAAAUGUUUCAUAUUUUCUUGUAAUAGUUUUUGCUGGUGAAAUCUAGGCCCUGCAGGACACAGUUCAUGCAUCUUUUGGUGGGGCCAGGUGCUAAACUAGGAGUGGUCAAUGGGGAGCCCAGCUCAGGGGAGGCCAGUUUAGCCUGGAGAGCAGUGUGGAAGUGCACUACAUUAAUACAGCUUGUGCUUUGUCAGGACAUUACUGUGCUCUCAUUUCACAGAAGUCCUGCAAAUAGAGCUUGGCAGCAUGGUGCACAUAUUUGAAGCAGUUUGUGUUGUCUUUUUAAACCAUAUAAAUAAAUCGCACUUGACUCUUCAGGUCAUCAAUCUCCUGCUCAAAGUAAGGCUGCGCAUGAAACUAGAUGAAGCUGCUCAAUGCUUUUACUAAUUGAAAAUCCCCAAGAACUGAGAGCUGGUAGCCUUUCUAGCCUCUUCUUCUACAGUUUGCUCAUUUUCACACUGAACAAUUUUUUCCUUACGUCUAAUCAGAAUUCACCUCGCUGCAGCUUGCAACUGUGGCUUUUUGCCAUUUGGCUGUGUGCUCCUGACAAGUUGUAUGUCCUCAGUAACCCCCUCUAGGUAAGCAAGGGCGCUAAUAAAGGAUUUUGGCUGAUAACAAGUGUUCUGUGUGUUGCAAGGAUCCAGGAGUUGUCUUUUGAGAACGCUUCCUCUCUUUGGGCAUGGAAGUGGUAAGAAGCAUCAGAAUCAGAUUCUCAAGAUAUAGCCAUGUUAUCAAAUGACGCUGGCAUUUACUGGACUUCUGUAACAUCUCAUCCAACAUUCUUCAAAUCCACUGGCACGACUGAACUAGGUGUCUAGCACUUAAGACAGAUCUAACUCAUCUUCACUCUAUUUCUAGUUUUUUUAAAUAAAUGAAUUCCCCUCCUUAGGAGAUUCUUUGCAUUUUGAAGUUGUGAGCUUACGUUGAAUCACCAGUUCAGCAGUUCAAUGUAAAUAAUUUCAAGUAGUGUCAUAACUCAGUUGCUUAAGUAGUUGCUGCCUUCGGAGGAAACAUGAGUGCAGCAUUGGUUCUUGGGAGAAACUAACCUAGUGGCUUUUGAGUAUGUCCUGGGGAUGAAUUUGUUAUUUAUGAAGCAUUACAAAUUGUAUCAUUUCAAAUGAACUGGUCCUAAACGUAAUUCCUUAAUGGCUGGAUACAUCUGAAAAUGCAGGCAACUUUGUGUUUUUAAUUGUUGGCUGUUGGAGCUUCAGUGUUUGCACAGUCACUGUGUGAAAGCUGUAUGCAUAAAUCCCUUCAGAGGGAAAACACAAAAAUAACCAAGAACACCAUUAGAAAGAAGAAAGAAGGGAACUUUGCUGUCGUGUAAUCAGUUUGUACAGAUUUGGGCCUUCUUUUGUAUGUAUAGAGUGACUUCACUGUAGCCCAUCCAGGGUCACAAUAGUUAAGUCAUUCCAUAGAAAUCAAAGGAGGUAUAAUCUUGUGAAACCUGCUUAAUAGGGAAAGCGUAGCCUUUGAAUCUAGAAGCUGAACUGGCUAAGCAAACAUCUAAUAUUGACUUGAUUCCUUAGUCUGAUUGCCUACCUUUAGACUUGGAGAGUAAAACUUAUCUCUAGCAAAAUGAAAUAUACAUCUUAAUUAUGUUUUUAACACAUUUACCAUCUUCCUAAAAAAGCAUGUAUGCCUGGUACUCCUCUCCCAGUAAAAGGUAGCUGUUUCAACUCCCUCUGUGCUUAAUGUUUUCUCCCAGCUUCUCUUCCAGUAUUCAAGACGCAUGGGGAACUGGAGGACUGAUAAUGUGGCUGUUAAUUAAAUAAAUGUGCAUUGAGAUUCAAGAGGUUAGAGCCUACAGGACUUAACUGCAAACUGUUUUUUUCCAUACUCAAGAGGCAUGAGUCAGAUUUUGCAAAGUGAGUCAAAUCUAUCCUUAUAUUCAUUUGAAGACACAGUAAUGGAUGUAGGGUUUGAAAUAGUGUUACACGUAGAAAUGGGUUAUUACACUGACUGAGCUUGUAACGCUCUCUUGGUGUGGCAAGGGGAUCUGGAUGGACCUCCGUGGUUGGGAAUGUGGAAGGAUCAGAAGUUCAGUCCCUGGAAAGAGUGAGUAGUCCUGCAGCCUGGAGGGUGUGGAAAG